AUCAUAGGGAGUUCUCGGGCCAGGGACCAGAUUGAAGCCACAGCCAGAUUCUUAACCCGCUGUGCCGGGCCAGGACUCAAACCGGCAUCCCAGGGCUCCAGACACCACCCACCCCAUUGCACAGAGUGGAAUCCCUACGUGACCUUCCGAACGCCAGGUUGUUAUCUCAAACGGCCUGAGCCAACUCCUGAGCGGAACGACUCCGAGGCCAUCCGUGGGCGGAAGGUCACUGACUGCCGUUCUCGGCCGGGCCGCAUCUCCUUCCUCCCCCAUUUACCAGAACUCGGAUCCUUUCGUGUCUCUAAAUGGAACUCCGAGGGAGCGCUUCCUCUUCCGAUCCAACAAUCGUCUUUUUCUCUAGUUGACAAAUAUAAUGUUGGACUUCUUGGUGAUAAUGCAAAUGGAUUUUGAAUCUAAUUGAACUUUUUAUAUCAAAUAUUUCAAAAUAACGAUGACGUCCUGCUCAGCAGCCACAGAUGUUGCUCCCAGCCUCUUAAUAAUUCUUCUUUAGGAUUCAAAUUAUAACCCUCACUAAACAUCAUGGGUGAGCGUUUCUGAUGGUUUUGCUUCAAAUCCAUCAACUUUAUCAUGAAAUGUGAACAUAUUUUCAUAUAGUUUUUGCAAUUUUCGAAUAAGUUCAUUUCGGGGCUCCAAAAACGGCAGUGAAGUGAGCCAUUUUGGAAGCCAGGGACUUUGUGUCUAGAAAUCAGCCACAUGAGCAUCUGAGUUUGAGCCCCAACCUCGGGACCGCGCCUCCCCUGGCUCCGACCCCUCGGCUCCCCGGACGCUGAAAACUGCUGGUAUUUGCCACAUUCCUCAGUUUGCAAUUUUUGGAUGCACAGGAAAGUUUUGCACGCCACCACUUGAAUUUGGGGGUUUUCAGGACACACUUGCCUCCUUCGUCUCACUGCAGCUGUGCUGUGCCUGACGGAUGCUCCUGAAAUGUUUUCAACACAAUCAUCGACCACGUGGAGAAUUUCAUUCGCCCAGCUGGUUGGGUCUGUUUUUUUUUUUUCUCCAACACAGAUGUUUUUUCUUUAAGAGCUUUCCUUCGGGGAUUGUGCUCUGUUGUGUCAAGGGCCGGCCCAAGCCCCUUGCUCCGCUGCCUUGACGCAGCGGACGGCAUAACUGUUGGAUGUGUCAGUGGCCUGUGGUUUCUGUGUGGUCCCCUCUGGUUCCAGACCCUGGAUUUUUGUGCUGCCCUCAGUGUGGCUGAGGCAGCGUUACCAGUGAGGCCGUGGGCGCCGAGCUUUCUCCGCCCCCUUGAAGCCGAGGCACCUUAUUCUUACAUCCUGCGCUCCCUUUGCCGCCUUGAUCUGUCCUGGACCGAGAAAAAUGCAUGACCAUUUCCUGCCCUAACGUGUCCUGUUUCUGCCAAUCCUCUCUGAGCUCCUGCUCUGGGAGGGACGCCGCAGGGCGAUGCAGUGAUGUCCAGAAUUGCAGACUUUUUCGUGGACGGCACCCUUUGCCCUUAUAACGUGUCUUUUAUUUUGUAUCAUUUCUCUUGUAUUCAGAUAAGCCCUCUCUGAUGCUGGCUGUUGUUGCCCCUGCAUUUUUGUGCAUUUUUCCUGUAUGUGUCUGCAUCUAUUUUUACCUGCCUGGGUUGCUUUGUUUUUGAAUAAUCUCAGGAUCGGCCUGAAGCUGGGUUUCCUCCCCGGUCCAGUCUAACCCUGGAUGAAAGGUGGAUGCAUGUGAGGCUCCUUCUGUUAUGGUUACACCAUCCGCUUUUGAUUAUGUCUGAAGCAUCUCUUCCACUCUAAGUCUCUGUGUCUUUUACGUGUCUGUUUUAUUGUUUGGAAGUUUGUUUGGUGAGUAUUUUAUUUUAUUUUAUUUUGGGCUGCACCUGUGGCGCAUGGAGGUUCCCAGGCUCGGGGUCGAAUCAGAGCUACAGCCGCUGGCCUACGCCACAGCCUCAGCCGCACCAGAUCCAAGUCGCAUCUGCAACCGACACCACAGCUCACGGCAAUGCUGGAUCCUUAACCCAUGGAGGGAGGCCAGGGGUCGAACCUGCGUCCUCAUGGAUGCUAGUCAGAUUUGUUUCCGCAGAGCCCCGACGGGAGCGCCUGGGGACCAUUUUAAAGUUCUAACUUUACG
rnacentral:lncRNA from 1 species